GGAGGCUUGUAUGAAUGGUUGGACAAAAAGUUAACUGUCUCAAUUAUAAAAAUUGAAUUUAACUUUUAAGUGAAAAGGCUUAAAUAUACUGAGGGGACGAUAAGACCCUAUAAAGCUUUACAAUAAAUUAAUUAAAUUAUAAAUUAUAAGUUUAACUUAAUUUAAUUAGUAUUUGUUUCGUUGGGGCGACGAGAAUAUAAUUAUAUAACUGUUCUUUUAUUGUUAUAACAAAUUUAAUUGGGUGAAAAUUGAUCCUUUUAUAAAGAUUAAAAGAUUAAGUUACUUUAGGGAUAACAGCGUAAUCU
rnacentral:rRNA from 1 species